UUGAUUGUUAAAAACAUCACCGACAGGAGGUAGGGAUUUUUCCCAAUAUGGGUUAAAAGAUUUUGACAAUCUGGUUGCACUUCAAAAUAAGCUCUCACAAUGUUCCUCGAGUGACCAUUCACCAUCAGUCUUUGACUCAUGGCAAAACAUUGCCGCCAAGGGAAGGGGGCAUGACAGUUUUCCUUGUAUGGCUCUUUGCGAACCUCUUGGUCAUCAGUCGGUCAGAAACCACUUGGAGUUGGAGAUAAUAUCAAGGAAAUCUAUCUCCAUUUUACUAGUACACAAUUAUGUAUUACAUUAAUUGAAAUUAUUUGUUGUGAUUCUGUUAACCUUAUACCGCUCAAAAACGCACUUUGAUGCCUUUGAAGUCCUUUUGAAAAUCAAAUUGAAUUUUAGUCCUUUCUAAAUAUAUUCAAGUUUGAAAGACUUCAUGUCCAACCCAAAGUUACUGAUGAGCAGCAAACAGCAUUAAACCUGAGCAGACUGCGAGUUACUGGCAGGCUGUUCCGGUUUUAUGCUGUUUGCACAAAGCCAUUUUCACUUUGGCUCUGAGUGGGAAUGGGUUAAAAGAACAAAAAUGAAAUAUUAUACUAACAUUUAAUAACGUGCUUGCACAUCAUUAUGGUUCCUUAAACGCAGUUGAGCGAAAUGGGUCAUUUUUGCUGUCUUGUAAAGAAAUGUUGCAAACUAUAAUUUUCUUUAAGCCAAAUAUUCUUUCUGGUAAGUCUGCUAUGUAUUUUGCAGGGUAAAUGAGAUUUGUGCGUUAAUUGUUUUGUGUUCAAUUAAGAUAUGCUAGUUGAAAUUAAAACAUGAAGAAUUUGUUUUGUGAUCAAUUAUUAUACAUUAACAAAUUAUUUCGUUUGGUUGUGAAGGCAAUGCCACAUUUCUAGAGGUCUGGGUUAUAACUGUUUACUAUGUGGACAAAGGGGGAAUUUAAACUUGUUAAAGUUACAACAAUUUUUUAUCCCUUGUCAACAGAAUUUGACCCCUUAACAUUGAUACUAGCAAGCUCAAUAACAACAAAAAUAUGUUUUAUUCCAUUUUCAAUGUACUAAAAUGCAAGUGCAAAUGGCAGAAAAUAAUUUUGUGUACAUAUUUUUUUGACAUAUCUGCCAAACCCAUUCAGCUUAUUAAGUGCUGCCAUUUUGUGCUGUUAAUUUUUGGAAAAAAAGUAUCUGUUGUAAAAUAUGUAGGCUUAACUAAAUUGAAUAAAAUAAACAACAACAAUGUUUAAAAAGAUUUAGAUGUGGGGCAAAUAGACCAUGCACAUGCAAUGUUUUUUUCAUUACAUUUUACAAAUUUAAGGUGCAGCAUAUCUGACAAACAUCUGAUCAAUUUGUUGUGGCCUAUUUAGAAUAUUUCAAAACAAAAAAGUUUUUUUGUGAGAAUUAAGUGUUAUCUUAAUAAUUAGAAUUGUAUAGAAUAAACUUGUUUUGAAUGCAACGUUGAAGCUGUAAGCAAGCUACUACCAUUAAAACUAAGCGUAACUUUAAGCAGAUAUCUGCAAGAUACAAAGGGGCCUAUGAUUUUUUUAGGUCAGUAGGUGUGAUAUCACUCAAUAUUAUGGGGUUUGUCAUAUAAAUCAUGACUGUUAUUUUAUUUGUAAACUUUACUUGAUAUUUUGCAUAACAAUAGGGCAGUCACCUGUUAUUCUCAACAUACAGCAUAAUUGGGUAGAUUUUUGAGUACCUGGUCAUUGUAUGGUUUACGUUGAAAAACUAUUAUAUGUAAACAUAUUUACAAAAAUUUAAAAUUGCAUGCCAAACAAUAGUGUGUUUUAAUGAGAUUAAUAACUUAAUAGUUGUGUUCAAAAACUUCACAUACACACGUAAUCUUUGUAAUCGACUUUGACGUAGGUUGCAGCUGUUGCUUAUAGAUUCAUUAGUUUUUAUUGAUAAAUCAUUAUAAUGGAAAUAAAUUAUUUAAACACUGCAAGUUACAAUUUAAACACAUAAGCUUGUUUUGUAUACAGAUAUUCUUUGUAUUAUCCUACAUCAUAGUGCAGCUUAACUUAGCUAUAUUGAAGUCCUGAGAAUUUUAAACGAAUUCCAUAUAAUUGAUGUUAAAGUAUUUUGAAUACAUACCCAACAAAAAUAUUAAUCCAAAAGUUUUAACUCUUUUAUGAUGAACUCAGAAAUAUAUGUAAAAAUACUACUUUAAAGAACUUCUUAAAUAUUGUUUUUCUAAAGAAUUUGGAAAUUAAACAGAAAUUGUUUUCCUCUAUCAUUCAUGAAGAACUCAGUUUUUUAUUAGCUGUGUCAUAUAAUAAGAGCAUUUUGAAUUUUCGCAUCUCUAAUUUGGAUUCAAUUGUUGGACAGUUAGUUGAAUAUUAGUUUAUUUUGAGAAAAUAAAUAUGUCAUAAGUGUAAUUUCUUUUGCAUAUAUAAUAUGUCAUUCUAUGCUUGAUAAAAUGUAUGUGUACAUUUGUUAAUGUAUUGAUCAUGAACAAAAUGUACCAGUAACCAACUUAGGUAUAAUCACAUUCGUCAAGGCAGAUACCAUGGUAGUGUUCCUAACGUUGGCCUUAUGUUGUAAUCACUGUCCAUAAGGCAGAUACCAUGGUAGUGUUCUCAAUGUUGGCCUACUGUAGCUUUAAUUUGUUGUGAGAUACACAUCAUUUUAUUUACAAUUAAGUCUGAACAAGGUAUUGCAUUGUUUUAGACUUUUAGUUUUCUAUUUUCAGGGACAAGAACUAUUUUUAUAUAGUUUCAUUUCAAGAAUUGUUAAGCUUUAUUGGGCUCUUGAAUAGAGGGUCGGUUGUGCUUUUAAAGCAAUUCAUUGAAGGCAUGAUUUUGGGGUUUGAAUUCCGGGCAUUGUUUUAUUACUUUUAUAUCAUUCUUUUGGCGAAAGGCUCUUCAUUAGCUCACCUGAGCACAACAUGCUCAUGGUGAGCUUUUUUGAUCGCCUUUUUGUCCAUCGUGCAUCGUCCGUCGUGCGGCGUCAACAUUUGCCUUGUUAACACUCUAGAGGCCACAUUUAUUGUCCAAUCUUCAUGAAAUUUGGUCAGAAGAUUGGUCUCAAUGAUAUCUUGAAUGAGUUCAAAAAUGGUUACGUUUGCUUGAAAAACAUGGCUGCCAUGGGGCGGGGCAUUUUUCCUUAUAUGGCUUUAGUAAAAUCUUGUUAACACUCUAGAGGCCACAUUUAUUGUCUGAUCUUCAUGAAACUUGGUUAGAAGAAUUCAUCCCAAUAAUAUCUUGGACAAGUUCGAAAAUGAUGCCGGUUGGUUAAAAAACAUGGCCACCAGGGGGCGGGGCAUUUUUCCUUAUAUGGCUAUAGUAAAACCUUGUUAACAUUCUAGAGGCCACAUUUAUUUUCCGAUCUUCUUGAAACUUGCUCAGAUGAUUUGUCCUAAUGAUAUCUUUGAUGAGUUUGAAAAUGGUAACCUAUGCUUGAAAAACAUGACUGCCAAUGGCGGGGCAUUUUUCCUUAUAUGGCUAUAGUAAAAUCUUAUUAACACUCUAGAGGCCACAGUUAUUGUCCAAUCUUCAUGAAACUUUGUCAGAACAUUCAUUCCAUUCAUAUCUUGGACGAGUUUGAAAAUGAUGCCGGUUGGUUGAAAAACAUGGAAGCCAGAGGGCGGGGCAUUUUUCCUUAUAUGGCUAUAGAAAAUCUUGUUAACACUCUAAAGGCCACAUUUAUUUUCCAAUCUUCAUGAAACUUGGUGAGAAGAUUCAUCCCAAUAAUAUCUUGGACGAGUUAAAAAAUGGUUUUGGUUUCUUUAAAAACAUGGCCACCAGGGGGCAGGGCAUUUUUCCUUAUAUUGCUAUAUAUGGCUUUUGUAAAAUCUUGUUAACACUCUAGAGGCCACAUUUAUUGUCCAUUCUUCAUGAAAUAUGGCCAGAAGAUUUGUCUUAUUGAUAUCUUGGAUGAGUUCGAAAAUGGUUACAUUUGCUUAAAAAAACAUUGCUGGGCAGGGCAUUUUUCCUUAUAUGGCUAUAUAUGGUUAUAGUAGAAUCUUGUUAACACUCUAGAGACCAAUUUUAUUGUCCGAUCUUCAUGAAACUCAGUCAAAAGAUUCAUCCGAAUAAUAUCUUGGACGAGUUAAAAAAAGAUGCCGGUUGGUUGAAAAACAUGGCCACCACGGGGGUGGGGCAUUUGCUUAUAUGGCUGUAGUAAAACCUUGUUAACACUCUAGAGGUCACAUUUAUUUUCAGAUCAUCAUGAAAGUUGGUCAGAAGAUUUGUCCCAAUGAUAUCUUGGAUGAGUUCAAAAAUGGUUUUGGUUGCUUUAAAAACAUGGCCACCAGGGGCGGGGCAUUUUUCCUUAUAUGGCUAUAUAUAGCAAUAGUAAAACCUUGUUAACACUCUAGAGGCCACAAUUAUUGUCCAAUCUUCAUGAAACUUGGUCAGAAGAUUUGUCCCAAUGAUAUCUUGGAUGAGUUCAAGAAUGGUUGUGGUUGCUUUAAAAACUUGGCCACCAGGGGCGGGGAAUUUUUCCUUAUAUGGCUAUAUAUGGCUAUAGUAAAACCUUGUUAACAAUCUAGAGGUCACAUAUUUGUCCAAAUGAAACUUGGUCAGAAGAUUUGUCCCAAUAAUAUCUUGUUAUCUCAGGUGAGCGACUUUGGGCCUUUCAGGCCCUCUUGUUUAAUAUUUAUGCCCCCCUUCGAAGAAGAGGGGGUAUAUUGCUUUGCUCAUGUCGGUCUGUCGGUCGGUCUGUCGGUCUGUCCACCAGGUGGUUGUCAGACGAUAACUCAAGAACGCUUGGUCCUAGGAUCAUGAAACUUCAUAGGUACAUUGAUCAUGACUCGCAGAUGACCCGAAAUAGUAAAAUGAUUUUCGGAUGAUAACUCGAGAACGCUUUUGCCUAGGAUCAUGACACUUCAUAGGUACAUUGAUCGUGACUCGCAGAUGACCCCUAUUGAUUUUCAGGUCACUAGGUCAAAGGUCAAGGUCUCGGUGACAAAAAACGUAUUCACACAAUGGCUGCCACUACAACGGACAGCCCAUAUGGGGGGCAUGCAUGUUUUACAAACAGCCCUUGUUUAUGUAGUUCUUCUGGGAUUUUCUGUCAACCUGUGUACGAUAACGUCUUUUUAGUAAUUAUCUGUUUUCCAAGAAUAAGUUAUUUCAAAUACCGGUAUGUUUCAGCAAAGAGGGUCAGUGUUAUGCUUUUCCCAUGUUCAUUCAAUAUUGUUUUGUUUUUUUAAAGAACUUAGUUCUUCUCUAUGAAACGGUAACAAAGAAUUCUGGUACAUGUUUUUGUGGUUAGUUCGUGAUUUAUAAUGUCUUUUAUCACCUUAAUUUGAUAAAAUAGCUGUGACCAUUCUUGUAAUUGGGCCAAAGUGACAAUUGGAACUAGAAGCCAUUGUAAAUUGUCUAGUACAGUUUAAAAUCGGCUCCAAGAAAGUAUUAAUGAGAUUGGUAGAAUAAGACUUUGUUUGUUAUUGAAGUUCUCCCUGUAAAGCACAUGAAAAUUGUCUCUAAACUGAAAUCUUGGUUUAUGUAACCAAACAUUUAAAAAUUUAAUGGCUGACUCCAGUAGUUUAAAUCCCAGGUUGAAAGUUUUUCUGCUGCUUAUGUUUUUAGCAGCAUGUGAGAAACAUUCAUUCAAAAUGUUUUAUUUGUGUGCUAUAGCCCUGUACAGUCUUGAUUUGUACAGCCUCUGCAUUAGCAACAUAUUUUAUACAUCUGUUUUACGCUUUUUGUUAGCUUAUCAUGAUUUUCAGUGAAAUUAUUGCAGUAUGACAUGGUAAUGAGUUGUCAUAUGAUUAGUAAACUGUUUUAAAAUUUUGAGUUUGUGUCUCCUUCCAGUCAGAUAUAAAAUAUUAUUAUGCCCCCCUUCGAAGAAGAGGGGGUAUAUUGCUUUGCUCAUGUCGGUCGGUCGGUCUGUCGGUCCGUCCACCAGGUGGUUGUCAGACGAUAACUCAAGAACGCUUGGGCCUAGGAUCAUGAAACUUCAUAGGUACAUUGAUCAUGACUCGCAGAUGACCCCUAUUGAUUUUUAGGUCACUAGGUCAAAGGUCAAGGUCACGGUGACCCGAAAUAGUAGAAUGGUUUCCGGAUGAUAACUCAAGAACGCAUACGCCUAGGAUCAUGAAACUUCAUGGGUAGAUUGAUCAUGACUCGCAGAUGACCCCUAUUGAUUUUGAGGUCACUAGGUCAAAGGUCAAGGUCAUGGUGACCCGAAAUAGUAAAAUGGUUUUCGGAUGAUAACUCAAGAACGCAUAAGCCUAGGAUCAUGAAACUUCAUAGGUAGAUUGAUCAUGACUUGCAGAUGACCCCUAUUGAUUUUGAGGUCACAAGGUCAAAGGUCAAGGUCACGGUGACCCGAAAUAGUAAAAUGAUUUUCGGAUGAUAACUCAAGAACGCUUUUGCCUAAGAUCAUGACACUUCAUAGGUACAUUGAUCGUGACCCGCAGAUGACCCCUAUUGAUUUUCAGGUCACUAGGUCAAAAGUCAAGGUCACAGUGACAAAAAUCGUAUUCACACAAUGGCUGCCACUACAACGGACAGCCCAUAUGGGGGGCAUGCAUGUUUUACAAACAGCCCUUGUUUCAUUUAUAGAAUAUAGCACAAAUGUAUUAGCAGGCUUUUGUGAGCAUUUCUGUUGAUCUGGGCAAAUAUUCAUAAGGCUUUUUUUGGAAAAUUCUUUGCCCAAUCUCAUGAAAUUAUCUUUUUAUGCCCCCGGUAGGGUGGCAUAUAGCAGUUGAACUGUCUGUCUAUCAAUCUGUCUGCCCGUCCGAAAACUUUAACAUUGGCCAUAACCUUUGCAAUAUUGAAGAUAGGAACUUGAUAUUUGGCAUGCAUGUGUAUCUCAUAAAGCUGCACAUUUUGAGUGGUGAAAGGUCAAGGUCAUCCUUCAAGGUAAAAAAAUGCAAGCCAAGGGAAAUAAUAAGCUUUAAAAUAAAGAUAAUUUCUAAACCUGCCAAAUGAUAGUAUAUUGAAAUUUUAUUUCAAAGCGGCGCAAUAGGGGGCAUUUUGUUUCUGACAAACACAUCUCUUGUUUUUUUAGCUCACAUGAGCACAACGUGCUAAUGUUGAGCUUUUGUGAUCGCCUUUUGUCUGUCGUCCGUUGUGCAACGUCAACAUUUGCCUUGUUCACUCUCUAGAGGCCACAUUUAUUGUCCAAUCUUCAUGAAAUUUGGUCAGAAGAUUGGUCUUAAUGAUAUCUUGGAUGAGUUCGAAAAUGGUUACGUUUGCUUGAAAAACAUGGCUGCCAUGGGGCGGGGCUUUUUUCCUUAUAUGGCUAUAGUAAAAUCUUGUUAACACUCUAGAGACCACAUUUAUUGCCCAAUCUUCAUGAAAUUUGGUCAGAAGAUUAAUCCCAAUAAUAUCUUGGACAAGUUCGAAAAUGAUGCCGGUGGGUUGAAAAACAUGGCUUCCAGGGGGCGGGGCAUUUUUCCUAAUAUGGCGAUAGUAAAACCUUGUUAACACUCUAGAGGCCACAUUUAUUGUCCAAUCUUCAUGAAACUUGCUCAGAUGAUUUGUCCCAAUGAUAUCUUGGAUGAGUUCAAAAAUGGUAGCCUUUGCUUGAAAAACAUGGCUGCCAAGGGGCGGGGCAUUUUCCUUAAUAUGGCUAUAUAUGGCUAUAUUAAAAUCUUGUUAACACUCUAGAGGCCACAUUUAUUGUCCGAUCUUCAUGAAACUUGGUCAGAACAUUUAUCCCAAUGAUAUCUUAGACGAGUUUGAAAAUGAUGCCGGUUUAUUGAAAAACAUGGCCACUAGGGGGCGGGUCAUUUUUUCAUAUAUGACUAUAGUAAAACCUUGUUAACACUCUAGUUAUUUUAUAAAGUGCUGCUUUCAUGUAUUCUUACAAUGAAGACAAUGUUAAGUUAAUAUCCUUCCUAUUUCGCAUAUUAAACUUGCAAUAAUCUAUAGAUUCUUAAAAUUAAAUAACACCAUUAAUUCAUUACCUCUUUAAAAUUAUUUAUUUAAUUCAGUUGCCCAAUCUUCAUGAACUUUGGUCAGAACAUUUGUUUCCUGUGUAGUUAAGUUUGGUUUUAUUAUGUCAUUAUUAUUUACCAUUGACUGUAUUAUUUAAUUUUUCAUAACACAGAAUUUUCAUAACA